UCCUCCAUGGUGUAGGCGGUUAGCAUACGAGGUUCUCACCCUCGCGACCCGGGUUCGAGUCCCGGUGGGGGAA